CAAUAGCGUAUAUUAAAGUUGUUGCGGUUAAAAAGCUCGUAGUUGGAUUUCUGCUGAGAACGACCGGUCCGCCCUUUGGGUGUGUAUCUGGCUCUUUCUUGGCAUCUUCUUGGUGAACGUUGCUGCACUUGACUGUGUGGAGCGCUACCCAGGACUUUUACUUUGAGGAAAUUAGAGUGUUUCAAGCAGGCAUACGCCUUGAAUACAUUAGCAUGGAAUAAUAAGAUAGGACCUCGGUUCUAUUUUGUUGGUUUCUAGAGCUGAGGUAAUGAUUAAUAGGGAUAGUUGGGGGCAUUCGUAUUUAACUGUCAGAGGUGAAAUUCUUGGAUUUGUUAAAGACGGACUACUGCGAAANCANNNGCCCAGGAUGUUUUCAUNGA
rnacentral:rRNA from 1 species